GAAGAAGACAGAGUUUCUUUGCAGAAUUUAAAGAAUUUAGAUGGACUCUCGUCCUGUCACCCAGGCUGGAGUGCAGCGGCGCAAUCUCGGCUCACUGCAACCUCUCCCUCCCAGAUUCAAGCAAUUCUCAUGCCUCAGCCUCCCGAGCAGCUGGGACUACAGGCGCCUGCCACUACGCCCAACCAAUUUUUGUAUUUUUAGUAGAGAUGGGGUUUCGCCAUGUUGGCCAGGCUGGUCUUGAACUCCUGACCUCAGGUGAUACACCCGCCUCGACUUCCCAAAGUACUGGGAUUAUAGGCGUGAGCCACCGCUCCAGGCCCUAAGCUAAACUUUCAUCACCUCCUGCUCCUGACUCAUCUAAAGCCUUGGUUCUCACAGUGUGGUUCAUGGAGCAUCAGAAUCAGCUGGGAGCUUGCUAGAAACGCAGCAUUGCAUUUGGAAAUGGGACUAGAAGAUUUAGAGAUGCUGAAAUAAUUAGAAGCAGUUUUUAAAAAGAUAAAGGGCUCUGGAAGAUUCCCAGUUAUAACAAAAUAAAUAAUCCAAACCUGC
rnacentral:lncRNA from 10 species